rnacentral:rRNA from 1 species
GACGAACGCUGGCGGCGUGCUUAACACAUGCAAGUCGUACGGUAAGGCCCUUUCUGGGGUACACGAGUGGCGAACGGGUGCGUAACACGUGAGUAACCUGCCCACAACUUUGGGAUAACGCUACUAAACUGGUGCUAAUACUGCAUAUGUGCUCCUGCUGCAUGUUGGGGGUUGGAAAGCUCCGGCGGUUGUGGAUGGACUCGCGGCCUAUCAGCUUGUUGGUGGGGUAGUGGCCUACCAAGGCGGCGACGGGUAGCCGGCCUGAGAGGGUGACCGGCCACAUUGGGACUGAGAUACGGCCCAGACUCCGACGGGAGGGAGCAGUGGGGAAGAUUGAACAAGGGGCGCAAGCCAGAUGCAGCAACGCCGCGGGCGGGAGGACGGCCUUCGGGUUGUAAACCGAUUUCAGCAGGGACGAAGAUUUUUGUGACGGUACCUGCAGAAGAAGCACCGGCUAACUACGUG